UGGGGAAUAUUGGACAAUGGGCGCAAGCCUGAUCCAGCAAUGCCGCGUGUGUGAAGAAGGCCUUCGGGUUGUAAAGCACUUUUAUCAGGAGCGAAACGCUGUCGGCUAAUACCCGGCGGAACUGACGGUACCUGAGGAAUAAGCACCGGCUAACUUCGUGCCAGCAGCCGCGGUAAUACGAAGGGUGCAAGCGUUAAUCGGAAUUACUGGGCGUAAAGCGUGCGUAGGCGGUUUCUUAAGUCUGCUGUGAAAUCCCCGGGCUCAACCUGGGAAUGGCAGUGGAUACUGGGAGGCUAGAGUGUGUCAGAGGGUGGUGGAAUUCCCGGUGUAGCGGUGAAAUGCGUAGAGAUCGGGAGGAACAUCAGUGGCGAAGGCGGUCACCUGGGACAACACUGACGCUGAGGCACGAAAGCGUGGGGAGCAAACAGGAUUAGAUACCCUGGUAGUCCACGCCCUAAAGCGAUGCGAACUGGAUGUUGGUCUCAAGCCCGGAGAUCAGUGUCGAAGCUAACGCGUUAAGUUCGCCGCCUGGGGAGUACGGUCGCAA
rnacentral:rRNA from 1 species